rnacentral:rRNA from 1 species
GACGAACGCUGGCGGCGUGCCUAAUACAUGCAAGUUGAGCGCUGAAGGUUGGUACUUGUACCAACUGGAUGAGCAGCGAACGGGUGAGUAACGCGUGGGGCAUCUGCCUUUGAGCGGGGGACAACAUUUGGAAACGAAUGCUAAUACCGCAUAAAAACUUUAAACACAAGUUUUAAGUUUGAAAGAUGCAAUUGCAUCACUCAAAGAUGAUCCCGCGUGGUAUUAGCUAGUUGGUGAGGUAAAGGCUCACCAAGGCGAUGAUACAUAGCCGACCUGAGAGGGUGAUUGGCCACAUUGGGACUGAGACACGGCUCAAACGCCGACGGGGGGCAGCCGUAGGGAAUCUUCGGAAAUGGAGGAAAGUCUGACAGGGCAACGCCGAGUGAGUGAAGAAGGUUUUCGGAUCGUAAAACUCUGUGGGUAGAGAAGAACGUGGGUGAGAGUGGAAAGCUCAUCAAGUGACGGUAACUACCCAGAAAGGGACGGCUAACUACGUG